GCAGAGUACUUCAUGUGUAAUGCCGAGCUGGAUGACACAGAAGCUGGAAUCAAGAUUGCCAGGAGAAAUAUCAGUAACCUCAGAUACACAGAUGACAACAUCCUAAUGGCAGAAAGUGAAGAACUAAAGAGCCUCUUGAUGAAAGUGAAAAAGGAGAG